CUGAAAAUGAGAAGGUAUGAGGACCUACCUUGUAGAUUUGUUUUGAAGAGUAACUGACAAAAACCACGUGAAGUUGUGCAUUGGACUUCAUAUCAGCAUUAUUUGUAACAGCCAAAAGGUGGAAACAGCCCUAAUGUCCAUGAAAUGAACAAAAUGUGGAACAUACAUGCAACAGAAUAUUCUUCAGUAUUCAAAAAGAUGGAAAUUCUGACGCAUGUUAUAACACAGAUAAAUUUUGAAGACAUUACGCUAAAUUAAAUACACCAGUUACAAAAGGACAGGCACAGCCCAGGCCCAGGAGGCAGGAUACCUGGGUCCUGCCCUGCCACCUGCCAUCACCAUCUCAGGAAACUUGCAGAGACGCAUCUAACUGCCCUGCCCCUCAAUCUCUGGUACUGCAAAACUGGGACUCAUUGUUCAGAGGCGAGGAGUUCUGUCAGAGAUUGUGCGGUUCCCUGUGUGAAUAAUUCAGGCCACGACGAUGGGAGAAUGGAAUGGAUUAAACUGGAUGGAGUUCUCUUUGGCUGAUUCGAAGAUCUAGAUGCUGAAGGAAGAAGAGGAAGCUAGAAGAGGCCAGGGUAAGGAGGUCAGCCUGAACGGGAGUGGUGGCAGGAAGUUUGGACUCCCUGCUCAAGGAGUGUUUUCAGUGUUUGGUAUUUGCACUGGGGGUCUUUCUAUUGUGAACACAAAGCCCAACUUAGAGGGAGGUAACUGAGGAAGGGAAACCGAGGAGUAGUUCUGGUUUCAAGUAGAGCUGAAUUUAAAGUCAAAACAACAUCCUUGACAAUCCAGUUUCUAUCGCUUCCGUGUGCUUCCUGCUGUGUUAGAUUGAUUCUUGGGCUCACUGUAGUGGCCCCUAAAACUUCUGGGUGAUAAAGUGGCUACAACAGCUCCAGCCUCACCCCUCCUCCUCCCAUCAGCUCAAUUCCAACAGCAUAGAGCUUGGAUCUUUCCCUUGGUUUCCACUAAACAUUUUUUUAAAUUAAUAAGAGCUUUAUUGAGAUGUAAUUUACAUACCAUACAGUUCACUCACUUAAAGUAAAAUUCAGUGAUUUUAGUAUAUUCAUGGAAUUAUACAACCAUCAGCACAAUCAAUUUAAAAAAAAAUUCAUCACCUCAAAAAGAAACCCCAUUCCCAUGAGCAGUCACUCCCCAUCCUCCUUUCUCCCAGCCCUAGGUAACCAUGAAUCCACUCUCUGUCUCUAUGGAUUUGCCUGUUCCGGACAUUUCAUACAAUACGUGGUCUUUUGCACUAGGCUUUUUUUACUUUGCAUGAUGAUUGAGAGGCUCACCUAUGUUGCAGCGUGUGCCUGAAUCUUAUUUCUUUUCAUGGCUGAAUAAUACUCCAUUGUAUGGAUUCAUCACAUUUUGUUUAUACAUUCACUGGUUGAAAGAUACUUGGUUUGUUUCCACCUUUUGUUUAUUACAGUGCUGCUGGGAUCAUUUGUGUGCAUUAUGUGAACAUUUGGUUUCAUUUCUCUAGGGUAGGUAUUGAAGAGUGGAAUUGCUGGGUGACACAGUUCACCUUUUGAGAAACUGGCUGUUUUCCAAAGCAGCUAUACUAUUUUACACUCACAUCAGCAGUGUCUAAGGGUUCAGUUUCUCCACUUCCUUGCCAGUCUUGUUGAGAUCUCUCUAUUUGGCUGUAGCCAUGCUUGUGUUGU
rnacentral:lncRNA from 1 species